rnacentral:lncRNA from 1 species
UCUUUUCUUUUGUUUGUUAUUUUCUUUGAAUAAGAGGAUUGAGAGUUUCUGAAUAUUGUGAAGUGAAUUAUGGAAUGGAAAUGUGAUUGAUAUUAUUUGAGAAGAAGAAAGAUUGAAUGUUGAAAUCUGAUUGUAGUUCAGCAGAGAGAAUGAGUCUGUGUUUGUUUGAAACAUCGUAUUGUGAAUGGCAGUUCUAUGUGAAGAAUUCUAGUGAUUAGAAUGAGGAUAAUUGUGUAUUAAAAGCUGUGAGGGCAUAGUAUUAUAGUUGGAGAUUAUGAGGGUGAAUAUAUUGGUGGAAAUAGCAGUUAUUGGUAUGACUGAAUUGUUGUACGGAAGAGAUUGAUAAGGUGAAGGAAGAGAUUAUAGUUUCCUUGUGUAUUCAGA